CAUUUUUUUUUUUUUUUUUUUUUUGUACGGAGUUCAAUCCGAUUCAUCUCUUCUCUCUUUCUCUCCAACGUGAUGCAUUGUUAAAAAUUCAUCUGCGCUGGAGUAAAAUAGAUGAGUUUAAAAGGAGGCAACAGAAGGGUGAGAAAAUAUGAGAUAUUAUUAAUUGAGACUUAACCCGUGAGAGGCGCGCAAAUAUUCGUUUUUCGAAGAGUAAUAUUUUGAGCGAAAAUCAAUUUAGAUGAUUUGGAAUGGCACGGAGCGCCCCACUCGGCGGAACACGUCACACAAGGUGAACGACCCUAGCACCACCCUUGCUGGCUGUUCCCGCACCCUUGGGAAGAUAAGCAGGCCCGACGCACAUCAACUACAACACUUAAGGAAGUAUUCUUUUGUUUGUUAGCGGAGAAAUGACUGGUUUCCUCAUUUCUUCAUUCAAUUUCCUCAAAACAACCCAGUCUGACCGGUCUUCGGCUUCUAACCUCGAUCCGCCAGAUAGACGUCCAAGGGCAGACCGUAACCGAGGGACGGGCGGCCGUUUUUCCGUGUCGACGACACCGGUCGGGAAGAGUGUGAGACGUUCGUGAUUAUCUCCCACGGUUUUCUGAUGUUUUCGGUACGCCUGGGACGUUGUAGAACCCACCCGCGCAUCCAGAUAACUAUCACUAGCGGCACUUCCUCCGCCAAUUGACCCCACACCUGCAAAGGGGCAAUCGCCUCCUCUACCUUUUUCUUUUUUUUUUCUUUUUAUUUUUUCGUUUCCAAGUGUCUAAAAGAUGACGUAUAUAAAUAACCUCGGUGUUUGUAAUCCCCAACAGGUUACAAGAAUGGAUUGAAUGAGAGAGAGUAAAGGUCAUCGCGAUCUCUAGCUUGCUAAAGAGAGUAUUAUUCGUUUACUUAUAGGGCUACUGGCAGCUGGCCUAAGGGCUAUAUGAGAAUCGCCGGAGCUGUUUUAUUAUAUCCUGAAUCCAACGCUUGAAUAUUAAUUAUAUAAAUAUACAUCUAUCACGCACACUUUUCCUACUAUAAUCAUUUUUAACGAGGAGAGUUAUUAAAAGAUGCUAAAACUCUAAUGGAAAACAUCGUUACUUGCUUGGCUCGAUCUGAUUAUUCGUGCGAAUUUCUAAACAAAGUUUUGUUUAUUUACCUAUAUUCGGAAUUAGGAUUAGUUUUAUCCCUCGUUAGAAUCACUUGUUGCUUCCCGAAAACUGUGUUAUUUACGUGUCACGCCAUCAGCGCUUAUCACGCACCGGGGAGAAAGACAAGAGAAGAGAUGCGGAGAAAAGAGAACAAUCCUUAAUGGUCUGAUGCUCUCGAUGAUGUGUGUACAGCACUCAAAAUGGAGAUGCCUACCGUCGCACAUAAUCUUGUAAAGUUUUCCGGAAUUUUUUUCUCGCCCAACUUUCAAGAAAGUUUUAUUUAUUUAUCUUUUUUUUUUCUUUUGCAAAAAUGGCCUAUUAAAUUCUUAUUUUAUAAUUCGUCCAUUCACGUAACUGUUGCAUCCGGGUUUGGAAGGCGUGUCGAGCGUGUAUGGCUUCGCAGCGUGUCAGUCGAAGCUCUAACACAGUAUUAAAUGCGUUCUAUCAGGAAGUUAAUGUGCGUGGAAGGAACGACGGAAUGGUCGGAACAAAUGAAAAUCAGCAGGUGGACUAGGAAAUGGACCAACUCCCGCUCAAUCUACUCGUACCAAAAUGAACUGUGCAUUUAGCACGUAAUGUUUUGAAAUGAAUUUACCGUCUUUUAAAACACGAAACUUAAUUUUUGGAUUCGAAUUUUGUUGUGUGUGUUUGUCAUAAUUUGUUUUUAAAAAUAAAAACUUCAAAUGAGCUUUUGUAAAUUUGGAAAAUUUUUCUUUUAUAUUCAGACAUGCAAUACCACGUUUCCAUAAUGAUUUGCCACACAUCACAUAGGCCUGCGUAUAUCUAUACAGCUUUACCAGCCAAGGAAAGUAAAAACUUGCUCUUAUUUAUGAAAGAAAAUUAAGCGAAGUCGUAGAUAAAUAGUUAUUCCGACUUUUCUUUUUCUCGAUGCCAACCUAAAUCACAAAACGUAAAGCAUUAACGGGCUCGGAAAUAUCGCUGAGAUGCUUUAAUGAGCCAGACCAUCCCGUGAUCUGAUUACGUCCCCCCAUCUUGCGUCUGUAAAUAUUGGGCAAAGAUAGAAAAGGGGAGGAAAAAUAUCGCAUAAGCUACGAAAAACAAGAAAAAAAUUUUAGUGUAUGUAUAUAUAUCUCAUCGGUUAGUCACGUGUUUGGCUAUAAAAUAUGAUCUUUCUCUUUUGCAAAUAUAUAAUUCAGUAUUCUGCUAGCUUAAAGUCGUACCGCUAGUAAAGGAUGAUCUGUGCAGAUUUAUUUUUAAACUUAGUUUUAAUAGGAAUUAAUUGCAUUUUCUUUUCCGCGUUUUGCUUUCCUUUAAUUAACUUAAACAUUUAUUUUAAAAUAACAAUUGGAUUAAUCUGAG
rnacentral:lncRNA from 1 species